UAAGGAAUAUUGGUCAAUGGAGGCAGCUCUGAACCAGCCAUGCCGCGUGCAGGAAGAAGGCCCUAUAGGUCGUAAACUGCUUUUGAACAAGAGAAAACCCCGGUACGUGUACUGGGUUGAUAGUAUUGUUAGAAUAAGCAUCGGCUAACUUCGUGCCAGCAGCCGCGGUAAGACGAAGGAUGCAAGCGUUAUCCGGAUUCAUUGGGUUUAAAGGGUGCGUAGGCGGACUGAUAAGUCAGUGGUGAAAUCUCUCGGCUUAACCGAGAAACUGCCAUUGAUACUGUUAGUCUAGAGUACAGAUGAUGUGGGCGGAAUAUGACAUGUAGUGGUGAAAUACUUAGAUAUGUCAUAGAACACCGAUUGCGAAGGCAGCUCACAAAACUGUAACUGACGCUGAGGCACGAAAGUGCGGGGAUCAAACAGGAUUAGAUACCCCUGUAGUCCCUGAGCGGGCUGGCAAGGCGCAU
rnacentral:rRNA from 1 species